ACUGGAGAGCUUGGUUGCCUGGCAGUGCAUGUUUCAAAUGCUUAGCUGACUAUAAAGCUAGAGCAGUUUCAUUUUUUUCUUCUGAGUGUAAAAUGUGUCCAGCAGCUUUGUGUAUGGAAGCUCUGACCUCAGUAGCAGACCUGACCUCUGAAGGACCACAGUAGUCUCGAACAGAUGUUCAAUCUAUACGUAAAGCCAGAAGUGAGAAGUGACGCAGUGCAGCGUCGAAGCAGGCAGAAGAUCCAUCUUUCCAACUAAAGUGCCGAACCUUUCUCAGCAUCUCUUUCUCUCUCCCUCUCUCUAUAUCUACUUCUCAGCCUCUGCUAAUCACCUGAACAACCACCCUGCAGUGUUCAACUUCUGGCAGGGCAAGCAAAAGGCCACAUCUCAUAAAUGGAACUUUGAAAUGCAUUAAAAGGGAACAACUUAAUUUCUUCAGCAAAUGGCACUCAAAGUUUGGAUGGAUAAACAACAGAAAGUGAACAGCUGCUGGCAUUUGAUUUUGAGUUGUGAAAGUUUAACUUCUGCACCUACCAAUUUUUCAGGCACCCACAGCAGUCUAAGCUGCCCAAGAACACUACCACAGUGGAUAUUAAUAGCAUCAAUUUACAGCUGACUAUGUCACUACUGUUCCAACUACAAUGCACCUGUAUCAACUGGCAGUGAUAGCAUGCCAAAAGACUCUGGAUUUAAAAAUAUGUACAUUUCACCAGAACAGAAAAAGACUCCAAAAAAUAUUACAUUAGAUAUUAUGAUCCACAAAGGAUGUGACAUUUUUAUUUAUCCGGUCAAACAACUGCUGAAGUGAGCCAAAGAGCCACUAAAGAUAAUUCUCUUAAGUACGGCUGAAUUUAAGGUCAAGGCUAUAUUGAUAAGCCCUACAAAGAGUUCUGCUUUAGGCGGUGGGGGGAGACGGAAGACAGGAGGAAAAACCAUUUUAAAAGUGGGAAAGUGGAGUUGAAGCCAAAGAUCAACCAUGACUGUAUUGAAUGGCAGAGCAGAUUCAACCAACUAUAUAGUCCACUCCUGCUUCUAUUUCUUAUGUUCUAAGUUCUUAAAAUGGAACAUUCACCUUUAUACUGCAAUAG